AUUGAACGCUGGCGGCAGGCCUAACACAUGCAAGUCGAACGAGUGGCGGACGGGUGAGUAAUGUCUGUGAAACUGCCCGAAGGAGGGGGAUACCUACUGGAAACGGUAGCUACAACCGCAUAGUAGAGGAAGUGUCAAUAUUGGAUGAGCUUGUAGGGGAUGUAACGGGACACCUAGGCGAAGAUCCCUAGCUUGUCUGAGAGGAUGACCAGCCACACUGGAACUGAGACACGGUCCAGACUACGACGGGAGGCAGCAUGGGGAAAUAUUGCACAAUGGGCGGAAGGCUGAUGCAGCCAUGCCGCGUGUAUGAAGAAGGCCUUCGGGUUGUAAAGUACUUUCAGCGGGGAGGCGUUACCCGCAGAAGAAGCACCGGCUAACUCCGUGCCAGCAGCCGCGGUAAUUC
rnacentral:rRNA from 1 species